rnacentral:lncRNA from 1 species
GGGUGGCUGCAUCCUGAACGGCGCCUCCCGGAACCCGGCCGGUUAGUGGCGGCUUCGAGGCCAUAGUGAGACAUGAGCCGGAGUAGCCAUAGUAAGUGAGGGCAGCCUGGCAGCGGCAUUAAUCGGGGAGUGGAUAGCUUCACUUCGGGAGGAGAGAUAGAGAUUGGCAGCCAUCUUGCUUUGGGGCAAGCUGGCAACGCCGGUUUGUCUUGACGGCUGCUUAGGGCGGUAAUAAGGGAUCGAAGAGGAUAGCAUUCUUGAAUGGGAAACAUUGGUGGCGCCACAGCUGGCUGGUGGCGACUUCAAGACCCACUGGAAGGCUGGGAUUGGCAGCCAUGACUCAUAAGGGCGGAAUACCACGGGGAUCGGUUUGUCUGGCGAACUUGAGUGAAGGGUCAAGAUCUGGAUUUCACCUUUCCUCUGAGCUUCCUGAUAACCCGGACGUUCCGUAAACCCGGAUCCGGAGCCGAAAGUGGUGCCCAGAUCCCGUCUCGGAAUUCAUUUGUUCAGCAUUUACCUUUUGAACGCCGGUUUCCUGUAGGAAGUGUCGCCUAGCUGAUCCGUGUAGGGCUGUUGGGAAUUGGGGGUGGGGAGGAUGGUGCGGGUACGUUCUGGUGUGGCUUAAGAAAGUGGUAAUAGAUAGGGGAAGACCAGAUUAUGCGAAGCCUUGUAAAUUAAUUGAUUUUUAUCCUUAAGGCAAUGAAAAGUCUUUGAAGAAUCUCAGCAGAGGUGUGAACAAUUUCAUUUGCAUUUUAGAUCGCUGCGUGCAGUGUGAAGGAUGAAUGAAUUGAGGAGAAUCAAGGAGAGCAGUUGUGAGGCUCUUUUCCAGGCAAGGAUGAUGAUGGUCUGCCUGUGGAAGGGAGAGUGCGGAUGGGGAGAUACAGAUUGGUUUAAGAGGUACGAAUGUUGUGACUUGGACAACUGGGGAAUAAUGAUACCAGUUUCUUUCUCGUUUAGGGGGGAGAUAAUGAGUUUUAGGUGCCCCUGGGAUAUUAGCUAAUGUGGGUUGGGAACUCAAAAGAAAGGUUUGAGGUGUGUGUGCGUGUGCAUAUAGAUAGCUGUUGAAGCCAUGAAGUGGGCUGGAGAGGAUACCUGCAUUUGCGGGAUAGGAUGAGGGAAGCCGAAAAGAACACUGAGAAGGGGCAAACCGAAAGGAAAGAAGAAAACCAUAGAGAACUAUCAAGGAAACUGGUGAAAGCGUUUAGUGUAACAGAGAUAUAGUAAAAUGCUAACUAAAAUAUAUACAUCAGGGCCGGGCAUGGUGACUCACACCUGUAAUCCUAGCUUUGGGAGGCCGAGGCGGGUGGAUCACUUGAGGCCAGGAGUUCGAGACCAGCCUGACCAACAUGGUGAAACCCUGUCUCUUCUAAAAAUACAAAAAAAAUUAGAUGGGUGUGGUUGCACAUGCCGGUAAUCCCAGCUACUUGGGAGGCUGAAGCAUGAGAAUUGCUUGAACCCAGGAGGCAGAGGUUGCAGUGAGCCGAGAUCGCGCCACUGCAUUUCAGCCUGGGCACCAGAGCAAGACCCUGUCUCAAAAAAAAUGAAAUAAAUAGGCCGGGUGCUGUGGCUCACUCCUGUAAUCCCAGCACUUUGGGAGGCCAUGGCGGGCAGAUCACCUGAUGUCAGGAGCUGGAGACCAGCCUGGUCAACAUGGUGAAACCCCGUCUCUACUAAAAAUACAAAAAUCAGCCAGGCAUGGCAGUGCGCGCCUGUAGUCCCAGCUACUGGGGAGGCUGAGGCACAAGAAUCGCUUGAACCCAGGAGGCAGAGGUUGCAGUGAGCUGAGGUCGUGCCACUGCACUCCAGCCUGGGUGACAGAGUGAGACUCUGUCUCCAAAAAAAUAAAAUAAAGUAAAUAAAAUGUAUCUAUCAGAUAUUGCAACAAGGGCCAGGCACAGUGGCUCACACCUGUAAUCCCAGCACUUUGGGAAGCCUAGGCAGGUGAAUCACUUAAGACCAGGAGCUGGAGACCAGUGUGGUCAACAUGGCAAGACCCCAUCUUUACAAAAAAUACAAAAAUUAGCUGGGCAUGGUGGUGCGCACCUGUGAUCGCAGGUACUCCAGAGGCUGAAACAUGAUAAUCACUUGAACCCAGGAGGCGGAGGUUGCAGUGAGUCAAGAUUGCACCACUGCACUCUCGGCAACAGAACAAGACUUUGGUUUUUUUGUAAAUAAAACAAAUAAAUAAAAAGGCCAGGUGUGGUAGCUCACACCUGUAAUCCCAGCACUUUGGGGACCGAGGUGGGCCGAUCACCUGAGGUCAGGAGUUCGAGACCAGCCUGGACAACAUGGUGGAACUCCCAUCUCUACUAAAAAUACACAAAUUAGCCAGACAUGGUGUCGGGCACCUGUAAUCCCAGCUACUUGGGAGGCUGAGGUGGGAGAAUCGCUUGAACCCAGGAGGCGGAGGUACAGUGAGCCGAAAUUGCACAAUUGCACUCCAGUGAGACUCUGUCCCCCCAAAAAAGAUACUGCAACAAGGAGGUCAUUUAGGAAAUUUGGAGAAAGCUGUUUUGUAGUUAUGGUGGAUAGAAACCAGAUUGAAUUGAGAAGGCACAACGUAUAAAGACAGUUUUUUCAUGGUGUUGAUGUAAAAAGGAGACUAGUGGUAGGGUGUUGCAGGAGGGAGAAUUCCAAAGAAGGUGAAGAAGUUUUAGGUACCUGUGAGAUAGCUAGAUAGAUAUGUCCUAGUGGCAUGUUUAAUACACAGAUCUAAAACUUAAGAGAAAAAUAUAAGUGGAGAAAAAAAGCAAGCACAGAAUAAAUAUGACACAUUUACACAUGCAUUAAAAAAUUAUGAAGAGUGGGCCUAGGAGGGAUAAGACUUAUACUUUUCAUUUUACAUCUAUCUUUAUUGCUUGAAAUUAUUUUAUUAUGCACAUAUUAUUUUACAGAAAGCUACUUUUUUUUUUUCUUUUUUGAGACAGUCUCGCUCUGUCACCCAGGCUGGAGUGCAGUGGCACAUCUCAGCUCAUUGCAACCUCUGAUUCCCAGGUUCAAGCAAUUCUCCUGCCUCAGCCUCUUGAGUAGCUGGGACUACAGGUGCACGCCACCAUGCCUGGCUAAUUUUUUGUAUUUUUAGUAGAGACGGGGUUUCGUUAUGUUGGCCAGGCUGGUCUCAAACUCUUGACCUCGUGAUCCACUCUCCUCGGCCUCCUAAAGUGCUGGGAUUACAGGCGUGAGCCAUGGUACCUGGCCAGAAAACUACUUUUUAGAAAGCCCUGUGAUAUAUAGGCCAGAAAUUCUGAAACAUCAACAUUUCGGUGGUAGUUGAAGCCAUAGAUUUGGAUAAGCUCCCCAGAAAAGAGCAGAGGGCUAAGAAGAGUGCUCUCGGAAAUUCCAACAUUUAAGGCACAAGUAGAAAAAGAGCUCUUGGAGAAUCUUUGAAAAGGAACAGCGAGUGAAGAAGAAGAAAACCUGGGAGAUAAUUGUCACAGAAUCAAAGGGAAGAGUAUUUCAAGGGGGUGGAUGUUGAAAGUGUCAGAUGUCCCCACAGAGGCAGCUGAUAGGAAAGGUGCUCUUACCUCUGAACCUAGGUUUCUUGGAAGCUUGGCACAAGAGUCAAAUCCAGAUCUUGAACCUUUCCCCAAGUAUCACUGGGCAGUACAACCCCCAGGCUAUUCUGCCCUUAUGCAUCAUGGCUGCCAGUCCCAGUCUUUCAGUGAGUCUUCAAGUCAACACCAGCCAGUGCUGGCACCAUCAAUCUUACUACACUUAAUAAUGAUACCCUGGCUGGGUGUGGUGGCUCACACCUGUAAUCCCAAUACUUUGGCCAGGAGUUCAAG